rnacentral:rRNA from 1 species
CUUCGUGCCUAUAGAAAAGAGGCAACACCUAGCUCCAUUCCGAACCUAGAAGUUAAGCUCUUUAUCGCCGAUGAUACUGCAUUUUUCAAGUGUGGCAAAGUAGGUUGGUGCGGGGG